UUCGCAAUGCCCGAAAGGGUGACGAAGCGACGCCGCGUGCGGGAGGAAGGCCUUCGGGUUGUAAACCGCUGUCGGGAGUUAAGAAAUGCAAGGAUGUUAAUAGCGUUCUUGCUUGACUAAGGCUCCGGAGGAAGCCACGGCUAACUCUGUGCCAGCAGCCGCGGUAAUACAGAGGCGGCAAGCGUUGUUCGGAAUUAUUGGGCGUAAAGAGCACGUAGGCGGCUGUGUAAGUCGGUUGUGAAAGCCUUCCGCUUAACGGAAGAACGGCAUCCGAUACUGCAUAGCUCGAGUGCGGGAGGGGAGAGUGGAACUUCUGGUGGAGCGGUGAAAUGCGUAGAUAUCAGAAGGAACACCGGCGGCGAAGGCGACUCUCUGGCCCGUAACUGACGCUGAGUGUGCGAAAGCUAGGGGAGCAAACGGGAUUAGAUACCCCGGUAGUCCUAGCCGUAAACGAUGGGCACUAAGUAGAGGGGUUUU
rnacentral:rRNA from 1 species